UAAAAAUACAAGGAAGCUUUUGAUGAACAC
rnacentral:piRNA from 1 species